rnacentral:rRNA from 1 species
AUUGAACGCUGGCGGCAGGCCUAACACAUGCAAGUCGAGCGGAUGAAGGGAGCUUGUUCCUGGAUUUAGCGGCGGACGGGUGUGUAAUGCCUAGGAAUAUGCCUGGUAGUGGGGGAUAACGUCCGGAAACGGGCGCUAAUACUGCAUACGUCCUGAGGGAGAAAGUGGGGGAUCUUCGGACAUCAUGCUAUCAGAUGAGUCUAGGUCGGAUUAGCUAGUUGGUGGGGUAAAGGCCUACCAAGGCGACGAUCCGUAACUGGUCUGAGAGGAUGAUCAGUCACACUGGAACUUGGACACGGUCCAGACUCCUACGGGAGGCAGCAGUGGGGAAUAUUAGACAAUGGGCGAAAGCCUGAUCCAGCCAUGCCGCGUGUGUGAAGAAGGUCUUCGGAUUGUAAAGCACUUUAAGUUGGGAGGAAGGGCAGUAAGUUAAUACCUUGCUGUUUUGACGUUACCAACAGAAUAAGCACCGGCUAACUUCGUG